CUCAAUAAACCACAAUUUCUUAUAAGUUUGAAAAUAUAAUAUUUAAAUUUAAUGAAAAACCUGUCACGCCCCGAACCUGGGGGCGAGACCGGCACCUGGUGCCUCACCUAUCCUCGUGUACCAACUUGCGACUAAGGGACUCUGAACAUAUAAUGUCAUACUUUGGCCAUGGGCCACAUUGCAAGAUAAUUGCGAAUGCUUACUAAAUAUCAAUAUAAAGUUGGGUCGACAAGGCCGUUAUAAUUACUACAGCUGGCAAACCAACAAAAUAUACAUAAAAGGCCUACAAGCCCAACAUCCUGCACUAACUGACAAGAUACGUCUGCAAGCCUCUACUGAUGGAUAUACUGUGAUCGGAACAGGGCGUCGACCUACUCAUAGCAUAUAUUCACAAGAUGUACAUAAAGCUUUAUCCGGCAACUCCGAAGAGCAUGGAGCUUACCGAUCAAGCUCAACUCGGGCAACACCUAAUGAGGAGGUCUACCCGUCUGUGUGUCUGAACCUGCACGCAUGAAAUGCAGCACCCCCAGAAAAGGGACGUCAGUACGAAAUAAUGUACAGAGUAUGAAAGGCAAUAUACUGAAAGCUGAAACUGAACUAAUAAUAUAAUAAUUGAAAGUAACUGGGAGUCAAAGAUAAUCUCAAGAUAUACUCACCUACUGAUAAUGACUCAACUCUCUCAAUAGUAAGUAAAAUAGAUGUCCGGCCUUAUAAGGCUCGGUAUAUAUAUAACUGCUCUGCCAUAGUAGGCUCGCUCAUAGGCGCUCGGCCAUACUAGGCUCUGUAUCUCGGCCAUUAUGGGCUCGCUCAUAGGCGCUCAGCCACAGUAGGCUCGGUAUAUAACUUACCAUCUGAUCAGAGGAUGCCAAAUAAGAGCUUGCCCACCGAUUAUAGCUCGAUGGUAGGGAAAAUACUGUAAUACUGUAUAUAUAUAGACCCUCUACUCUCUUCAACGGAAGAAGAUAAUACUCAAUGGAAUAUAAGGUCCCAAUACGGGAGAAUACUGUAACUUAUGAGACAAGGAUAGUGUAUAUAAAUUCGGAAGUAUGAACUUCUCUUUAUGCAUCGUUAUCAAACACAUGUAAUAACGAGAUCAUGCCAAAAAGAAGGAAGGGCUUAACCUUAACAUACCUGGAGUAGGGAAAAAUCAAUAUGACAUUAUUGAGAAGGAUUGCACCAUACUCCCUUAGAAUUAUAAAAUCCCGUUAUUAUUACACAGUGCAAUUUCGUAUGAAUUCCUUUACUAAUCCAAGAAUUGACGUUGCUAUUGCGUAGAAUAAUUUCGGAUAAAACAAUUUGCUGAAGCAAAAUCACGUCAAUCUAUCUCACCUUGUAAAAGAUUUGUAUGAAAUCUUGUUUGAGAAUUUCCAUCCGUUCCUACAUGUAUAAGCAUCUCCAUUUGUGAUUUUGAAAGGCCUUUUAUAUAGCGUGUGGGCCCCACACUUUGUAUGACUAAGUCACAAAGACUCCUCCAAUCUUGCCACCUUAUUAAAUGAUCUUAAGAGUCAUGUUAGGCUUGAUUUAAGCCUUCAUGCUUGCUGCCACGUUAGGGAGUUAAUUCCUUAUCCAAUAAUUUCUUAAUUAUAAGUUAAUCUCCCACUUAAAAAUUUAUAAUUAUUCAAUUAUUCACAUAAUUAGUAAUUAUCUCAAAUUACUUAAAAUACUACUUACUUUUAAUAUAUUUUAUAUACUUUACUAUCAUGGCCAUGUGGUACCUUGUAUGGUACUAGUCCAUAAAUACCGAGUAUUUUAGCUCAUGUCGUAUUUUAUCCAAAAUGUCAAACUUCGACGAAAUUUAUUUUCUUCGAUUUGCUUACCUUCUCACCUUCACGAAUUUACUCGUCACUUAUUUGAAAUAGCAUAAUGCUUAUAAUCUCAAAAUAAUCCAUCUCCCGAACUUACAUCGAUUAACUUACGACGAAACUUUAACGUAUGAAAAUUCGGGAUGUAAUAUCUCAUGUCCGAGCUUUCAUCAAUUUACUUAUUGCGUACUUCCACGUACAAAAAAAAAUGGUGUGUAACAUUAUUCCCCCCUUUGGAACAUUCGUCCUUGAAUGUUGACUGUUGCACUUAUCAUUCUCAUAACUCAUAGCUCUUGCGAAUACUUUAAUAUUCUCCUUGCUAUUUAGGCAAUUGUUCUUUGAAUAAAUCCAAAGGCGAGGGUAUUCCCCCCUUUGGUCCUCCUUCUCAUAUCACGACUUUCCUCCAGCUCUUAGCCAAUCUCUAGGCCUCACUUUGUGAACAUAUAUAAAAUUAUGUCAAGUUGUCCCUCUAGGCGUCAUUAACUUUACUACAUCUAAGUAGGCCAUACUAUACCAUAACUCUUACUUCGAUUUAUUGUUACCGAGGUCUGCGACCAAACUACAGGUGACUCUCGUUGUUUAUCCUAUAUGCAUAAAACUAAAUCUUUUAAUGCUUCCUCAUUACUGUUCAUCUUAAGAAUGAUGACCUAAUCUCAGCUCAUACUUUGUGACUUUUGUCCAUCCAUUAUGAUUCACCUCAAUAUUGAUCUACAAUAUAGCACUGAUAACUUGAAACUUCUUUCGUAAUACAUUACCACUAGGGCUUAUGUUGCAUCGAGGAAUAUUUGAAGUGAUUUUCCUGAUCUACUUAGGGGCGAUAUUGUACUUCAAUAAUCAUAUUUUAUAGCAUCCCAAUGUGAUUCACCUUACGUGGGUAUUUUAAUUCUGUACCAUCCAUGAAAUCCUCUUCAAAUCAUUACUCAAUCGAAGGCCCAAACGUCAUCCUUCAUCUAACACAAUUACACCUUCAUUCUACUACCAGACUAGCAUUCCAUCUCUUCUAAAUGCUACUAGUCUUAGAUUUCUUUGAGUUCAUUCAGGCUAUACUGAGCUUUCUAUAACUUAUAGAAGCCAUCAGCUCUCUUGUUUUCAUGGGCUUAAUCUCGAGGACUCAUCCGUUUCUCGUUACCUUCUCACUCGCCCUUUCUGGUCCUUACUCCUGUCUUCCUAAAAUCUUGUCGCUCUAUCAUACUUUAGCUUGCAAUCUACACAUAUCCAUUUAUGCUACUCGCAACCUUUCUUCAACUUGCUUGCACCAUAGAUUUCCUUAUAUUAUUCUGGAACAUCAAGCGAGACAUCACAUCGUCUCUAACUCUUCUUUACUCUCUUGACUAGGUCUCUCGGCACCUAGAAACCAUAGGCUAGAAGAUAUGCCAUCAAUGACACUGCUAUCAUUCCUGGAUAUUGAAUCCCAACGCUUUUAGUCCUUUAUCUAAAGUAUGGAUUGUUCGCAACCUUCUGCAUUUGAGUAUCUCGUACGUUGUUCACCUUUACCUUACUUACCUUAAAAUCUCGCAUCACGUCUUCUAUCUCUUUCAUGAUCUCGAUUUCAUACAGGUAUAAUUCACGUCCAUAACUUGAAACUCUAUUAUAAUACUUACACCUCUGGUGCAUACACAAUUCGGUGGGAGAUUCAUACUGACUUCUUAUGGGGCUUAUACUCUUCUAACUAGCUUUAUCGUAGAGCCGUUAUAAAAUAUGGCUACUAUACUAUCUCUCUUGUACCUCUGAUAUUUAAGAGUGAUUAUGCAAUGUUCUCAAUCAUGAUGUCUAUAAUAUUCUGGGUCCAAUAAUCAGACUCGUGAUUUACUUGGUUGACGUAACUCUUUAGUUUCCUCUUCCUUCUGAUCAGUCUUUAUGUAGGCUUAAGAUAUCUUCCAAUCUGCAACUCAUGGUAUUAGUUAUUACUUUAGCCUUUCAUGGGCAUUAUGGAAUACCCAUGAUACAAUCUUCUAACAACUCAAUCCUUCGUCUAUGUCCUGAGCUCAAUUCUUUCUUUUAACUUAUACCGGAGUCUUCUAUGUCUGUAUGAUUGUCAACAUAUAUGUUGUAUGUAUAAAACUCGAACUCUUAAGUGCGUUCAUAAUGUAACUAACUCUAGAUUGUUGAUCAAAAUAAUUCCUUCCGUUCCUUCCCAGCCUUUUUUUAAAUGUAAGCAAUUACUUUUCCUGGCCGUUCUACCACUUAUUGCAUGAAUACUUGGCUUAUCUUUAGUGCCCACAUAUAUUGGAAUUCCAUACAACUCAUAUAAUCUUGAAUAUCACUUCUGAUUUUUACUUCCCGUCCAUUAGCCACGGUAGGUGCCACUUUCUUAUGGAGUGCAUACAAUGUUAUUGUGAGACUGUUGUUAUAAGAUCACUUCCUCUUUAGGUCACUGAGCUUAGGUUGAAGCCUUCCUCCUUACUUCCCCAACUAACCUUUCAUUGUAGUACUUAGGGAGGACCCUCUGACUCUUGUAAUGUUGCGAGCUUGUUAUAUUGUAUAUCUGAAGAAGUUUUCGAUGUUCUUACUCGUCUAUAAAUAUCCGUAGUUACAUACCUCUGUGCACUUGUGCUCGUGCGGUUGCUUCUGAACUGAAGUUUUGACUGUCUUCCUAGUGGCAUUCUCUUUUAUUUCCGUAAUACUCAUACGAUACCUUUAACUACCCCAACUCCUAUCUGAAUAUUUCUCAAGGGUUCCGAUGUAAUAUCUGCAAAACUGAAUUCCCCAUGUUGGGGUUCACUAUGUUCAUCUUGCAUAAUCUGCCGAUUUGUCGGUAACCUCUUGUCUAGCCAUGACUAGGCUCUUCCUGAAUCAACUACUAAUUACUCGUUGACCCAUUCUUAUAUCAAUAUCCCGCAAAAUCUUUCUUGGUUUAUUUCCUUUGUCUUAACUUACCUCUCACACUGGCUACUUAUUUAUCAAUAACAUCCCAGGCAGGAACCCUUACUUCCUUUCCGUGACGUCGUGUUUGCAUAAUGUUCUAGAAUCGUAGCAUAUCUGUAGGAUUUGAAUAAGUGCAAUUUCAUCCCUUUCUCAUUUUUAUCGCAUUCUUUCUUUACUAUUCCAUACCGGUUUCUAUCACUCUGGGGUUUAACUUUACGUUUUGGUAAUCACGUUAGAGUCACGAAUUUAUUUCUCGAAAUAAGGAUAUGACUUUAUGUCUUAUACUUUUUUGUUGUCUUAAGGCCUAUCACCUAUCGUCUCUUCCUUCACAUGACUAUGGACCUUGUAAUACUGUCAUCUUUUUUAUCUACCGUUGUUAUCCAUGUAUCACAUCUUACUCAUAAUGCUUCCUUAUCUCUCUUAUCAUUUCCCUGCUAAUAUUUCUGCCUAUCCCUUUCUUGUGAAAACUUCAACAAGACAUUCUUUUGCUUUUAGUUCCACUUGCUCCAUCUACUGGCUCUUCGGGUUGCCUAACAUUCUUUUUCUACUAGGGACGGGAGCCACACUAAGGUAAUAUUUAGCCCUUCAAGGCUUCCAGUGCCUAUCUUAGCUGUACUAUUUUAGACUAUACCCUCUGGGUGUCUUACAAGGAGAUCUAUUAGCACAUUUGCAAUAUCCUUCGGAAAUUUCACUUAACGCAAACAAUCCAUUCACCAUUUUGGGUUACUCUUACCCCAGCCGGAUCUUGAUAUCAUGUCCUUCUCUUAAACUACACCUAUUAGCUUCCAUAUGGCAUAACUGAGAUGGGUGUGGCUGAUUAUACAUACCUCCGUUACAGUUGAAGAUAACUCAAAAUGCUUAUAUUUCUCUUCAUGAAUGGUAAAUAAUGAUAAUCUUCAUUGGCUGGGUACCUCGUACCCUCCUUCAUCUUUCUUCUUUUACUUGCUAAAACUUGUAUCUAUCUUCUGAAUCUCUCAUUGCCUUUCACCGUAGGGGUGGAUAGAUAUUCUUGCUUUGAGGCUCCUUAUCAAGAAGCUUACAUGUCUUAGUACAUACACGUUCUGCUGAAGACCUCACAUUUAUCCAUCAUAGGAAUGAUGCAAACUCGAGUUCCUCUAACUGAACUCUUCCCUAGCUGUAUCUCUUACCAACUAUCUUUCUGGAUAUCGGUAUCGUUGUAUUACGAAUAUAAUAGAAUUUAGGAAUUUGAAUUCUUAUAAGUGAGCUCUACCACACGAUCUAGAGUAAGAAAACAAGAGUGACAAUCCUAAAUGCCCUAUAGUCUCCUGUUUAUAAGUGAGGUGCACAACACACCCAUAAACAAGACUCUACUAGACACGGCUUGUAGACUCCCUAGGACAGAACUUCUCUGAUACCACUUUUGUCAUGCCCCGAACCUGGGGGAGAGACCGGCACCCGGUGCCUCACCUAUUCUCGCGUACCAACUUGCGACUAAGGGACUCUGAACAUAUAAUGUCAUACUUUGUUCAUGGGCCACAUUGCAAGAUAAUUGCGAAUGCUUACUAAACAUCAAUAUAAAGCUGGGUCGACACGGCCGUUAUAAUUACUACAGCUGGCAAACCAACAAAAUAUACAUAAAAGGCCUACAAGCCCAACCUACUCCACUAACUGACAGGAUACGUCUACAAGCCUCUACUGAUGGAUAUACUGUGAUCGGAACAGGGGCUCGACUUAAUCAUAGCAUAUAUACAUAUAUACACAAGAUGUACAUAAAGCUCUAGACCCGGCAACUCCAAAGAGCAUGGAGCUUACCGAUCAAGCUAAACUAGGGCAACACCUAAUGAGGAGGUCUACCCGUAUGUUUGUUUGACCCUGCACGCAUAAAAUGCAGCGCACCCAGAAAAGGGACGUUAGCACAAAAUAAUAUACCGAGUAUGUAAGGAAAUAUACUGAAAGCUCAAACUGAACUGAUAAUAUAAUAACUGAAAGUAACUGGGAGUCAAAGAUAAUCUCAAGAUAUACUCACCUACUGAUAAUGACUCAACUCUCUCAAUAUAGUAAGUAAAAUAGUUGUCCGGGCUUAUAAGGCUCAGUAUAUAUAUAAUUGUUCUGCCAUAGUAGGCUCACUCAUAGGCGCUCGAAAAUACUAGGCUCUAUAUCUCGAUCAUUCUGGGCUCGCUCAUAGGCGCUCGGCCACAGUAUGCUCGGUAUAUAACUUACCAUCAGAUCAAAGGAUGCCCAAUAAGGGUCUGCCCACCGAUUAUAGCUCGAUGGUGGGGAAAAUACUAUAAUACUGUAUAUAUAUAGACCAUCUGCUCUCUUGAACGAAAGAAGACAAUACUCAAUGGAAUAUAAGGUCCUGAUACGGGAGAAUACCGUAUCUUAUGAGACUAGGAUAGUGUAUAUAAUUUCGGGAGUAUCAACUUCUCCUUAUGCCUCAUUAUCAAACACAUGUAAUUACGAGAUCAUGCCAAAAUAAAUCAAGGGCUUAACCUUAACAUACCUGGAGUAGAAAAAAAUUCGUAUGAUAUUCUUGAGAAGGAUUGCACCGUACUCUCUUAGAAUUGCAAAAUCCCGUUGUUAUUACACAAUGCAAUUUCGUAUGAAUUCCUUUACUAAUCCAAGAACUGCCGUUGCUAUUGCUUAGAAUAAUUUCAGAUAAAAAUAUUUGCUGAAGCAAAAUCAAGUCAAUCUAUCUCACCUUGUAAAAGAUUUGUAUGAAAUCUUGUUUGAGAAUUUCCAUCCGUUCC
rnacentral:lncRNA from 1 species